GUCAAAGUUGAGCUGUGUCUUUGUGCAGCAGCAGACAGCCUCUCAGUACUGAAGUUUCCUCUAAUGACAGAGUCGUUUUCUCCUCGUCUCCACAUCCAGGUGAUCUGAGGAGCAGAUCCAGAGCAGAGACCAGGAGCAGUGCAGCUCAGUGUGGUCUGCUGUCCCUCUGUCAGAGGAGGAAUCAUCACUGUGGGCUUCUGGGUCAGAGCUGAUGAGAGAGAGGUCCAUGAGUACAUGAGGUGAGCAGCAUGGAAACUAUUAAAACACUUUAUUUUGGGGAUUAAAUUUACUCAGAUACUGAAAAAAUAAGAAUCAAGGAGAAUAAGAGUAAUAAUAUGAAUGGCUGCAGUUCUCACAGAUUACCAGCAGAGAGCAACAAAUGCUAAAAUUUACUUCAUAUGAGUUUUUACAGCUGAAAUACUCUGUUGGAGUUUGUUUGCACACGACAUCAUAGACCUCCUCAGUGUGUUUGUGUAGCUCUUCGUACCUUUAACAGAGACAUUCGCUCUUAAGGAAUACUGGAAUCCAUCUUUAUCCUUGCCAGGACUGAAACCGUUAACUCUGAGCUGAUAUGAUCCAGAGUCUGACACAGUCAGGUCAUUGAUGAUGAUGCUGCACUUCCUCUGACUCGUACCGGGCUCCAACUGUUUUACUCUGCCUUUAAAUCCAGACUGAACCUUUUUGUCGUUCUUUUUGUAUAUCACAUCUUGAUCAGUACAUCUUGGUUUGGAUGGUUCACAUUUGAACCACACAAUAUUCUGGGGAAUGAAGGUUGAGCUUGUAUUGAAAGAGCACGGUAUCACAACGCACAGUCCAGCUUCAGCUCCUAUUUCUCCGUCACUGAGAGUGAUACAGAAUUCAUUUUGACAGGCGGAUCUUCUUUCUAGUGAGCAGAGACACAAAAGUGGGUGUUAUUGGGGCCAAAAAAAUCUGAUAUUUUACAACAAACUGAGAAAAACAGCUGCUGAUUUUGGCUCAUUGUGCCACAAGGAUAAAACAGAAGACAAAUUAGGGUGAAUUAUAGAGUCUUAGGGUUGUUGUUGGCUGUUUGUUUCUGAACAGUGUAAUGGAGGUCCUCGCUCUGACACUCACAUGCUCUGUAACGUCUGCCUGAACAUAACGCUUCGUAUUCAUGAGUCAGGAGUCUGUUAGAUUUGAAAUUUUGUCACCUUAAGAUCACUAUGAAGUUACACACCUGUGUCUGCUCUGCUGUCCAUCACAGAGAAAAGCAGAGUUGUCCAUAUGAGGACAAACAUCCUGAGUUGGUUGUUGAGACUGUCGGUCUCUCUCCCGCUGCAGAAAAGAUUUUCACAGUAAACAUGAAGAAAGUGACAAAGUGAAGCUCAAAGCUGACAUGACAGUCCUAAAAUACAAGAUUGUUCAUUUUCAGCAGCUCCACGGUUCACACGUCACACUCAGGAGAGUUUGUACAGCUCAGCAUUGAUCAGUCGUUGAUUUAACUACAAUGAUUUUAAUAACAAUAGCAGCUCUUGGCCGUUUCAGCCUCUCCAGACCUCACUAAUAGUUUCCAAUACAGCCGUUAUGCAGUCUUCCUCAUUUUAAGUCUCCCUCCAAUCCAGUCUACACUCUUACUUUACCAGCAAACUAAAGACUAUCAAAAAGCAUUUUAAUAACUCUGUAAGGAUGAAGGAAAACACUCUGGAAACUUCUAUUUACUCUCCCAAAAUUAAUUUCCAAACUCUUUCAUACCUCCAUCUGUCUCCUUCCUCCGCUCUCUUUUCUCUACAAGUUUCAGCGCUCAAAUGUCUCUUCUCUCUUUUCUAUUUCUCCUUUCGGUGUGCAACCAGAUUUCAGGAAGGUUCUGCAAACACAGCUUAUUUCUCCUCUGCCUAAACUGACAGGUUUUUUUGGUUUUUAAUCUUUUUGAUCAUAAAUACGCACUUUUAGUAUCCCACAUUUCUCAGAACUCUGUUUUUGUUUCUUAUGUUUAGCUUUUUCAUCGUAUGUUAAGGUGUCUGAGCUAUCCAGAGAUUUUUAGUGUCACAGCCCUGUUCUCGGUGUGUCUCUAAUGCUGUUAAAAACUUAAUAAUCUUUACAACAACGUCAGCUUUGGACCCUAAAAACAGCUUUUGAAUUCAUGAACUGAGAAAACUACAGCACAUCCUGUUUUUCAACACUCUUCAGUUACUUUAGCAGAAAAUCAAAAAGGUAAGAAUAAAUAACUCCAGCCUUUCCACAAUCACAAAAUAACAUGUUUAAGUGUCUUUCAAAGUUGUCUUUUACCUCUCUCUGUCUCGCUCCUCUGCUCUCUUUCCUCUGCAAGUUUCAGUUCUGAACUGACCCCCUUUUCACUUUGCGUUUGGUCUUUUUUUGGAAGAUUUGAGGAAGUUUUCUCAGGCACUUCUGCGUUUUAUUUCUCUUCUUUUGAACCAUCUGUAUUCUCAAUGAUAUCAUAAAUACUCUCACUGAAAUAUCAAAGUUUCAAUGUUACGUCUGUUAUUUCUCUAAAUUUCAGUAUACACAAAAUUCACUCUUAGUUAUCACACAUUGCUGCACACUUCUGCUCUCAGCCUUUCUUUGCUGAUGUUGUCCUUUAAAUACAUAAACCAGAAACAGAAUCAGAAAACUUUAUUUAUCCCCAGGGGGGAUUAGAUUAGAUUAGAUACAACUUCAUCUGUCCUUUUGGGAAGGUUCCCUCAAGACAUUAAACGUUCAAGCAUAAGUGUAUACAAUCAGUUUGUAGUGUAGAAUAUUGCACAGAGAAUUACACAAUUUCAUGUUUCCUGAUAAGAAAUCUCAUCCUCUUGACUUUUCAAAAUCAAACCCGUUUACUCAUUUUUAUGAACUACAGGGAAAAAAGCUUCUUCUUCUUCGGUGUGUUGUGAAACAUCUGGUCUAACACCCUCACAGGAGUCACAGACAUUAAAAAUGACAACAGAGGAAAUAUCAGUCUGUUUUAUAACCAGCAGAAAUCUCCUCACAGGACCUUCAUGAACCUUGAUUUGGUGUGUUUUGAGUCGUACGCUAUCCUGCGUUUAUGCUACAUACAAACAGUUUCAGGUAAAUCACAGAAUGAAAUCAUAAGACAGGAGAAGAAAUUAUGAGUCAUUUAAACACAUCAAAAAAACAUCAGCUUAGUCUGUCCUCAUUAUAAAAGCAGAACCUGAGGGAGCGCUUCUGCAUUAUUGUGUUUUUAUAGUUCAUGUUGCGCAACAUCCGUGGAUUCUGCUCACAGCAAAGUCGGUCCAGUUGAUGACUUGAACAUGAGCUUGUUUGGUACCUCUGUGUGCUCAGUAUCCUAAGAAGUGACAAAGUUACUUAAACCUUCAAAUCACUUCAAUCUGCUGUAAGUCAGUGAAAAGUUCAUUGACUUUAUUUUUACUUGAAAUCAUUUCGCUGUGAAACAACCUUAAAAAAACUUGGAGUGAAGCUGACUCUGGUUAGUUCAGAGGUCGGCAGAUAACUGCAGACUCUGGAGCAGGGCUCUCAAGUAUUGAGCUGAGCUUGGAGUGAGAUCAUUUUUUAUUUUGUUUGUUUAUUUGUUUGUUUUUGAGGGGGAAGUGAAGUGAAGUGUGUUUGAAGAUAACCUAAAUUGAGGUAAAAAAUGAUCCAUAAAGCAAAUUUACUGCAUAGUUCCUUGACUUUAAUAAAAUACAGCAAUUGUAUGAGAAAAAAAUCAAGUGAUUGAGUUGCAACAUAAUUUCAGGACCCACUUCCAGCUCUUCUUUAGUGUGCACACAAUAGCAGCAUUCGUGCGUGUGGAGGACACGAUUAUGGUGCUGUUAUUUCACCUAGCAACAAGAAAUACUAUUUUCUGACUGGCUGAUUGGUUGCAGAUUCAAGCAUCAUCCAUUUAUAGGUUUACUGCGUGAGAAAUGUUGUGUGGUGCGUGAACUCGUUGAAAUGUGUGUCUCACGCUCGACACGUGAAACCUGAGAGCCCUGCUCUGGAGAUAGCUCUGUUUUCUGAAGAGACAUGUAAGUCCUGUCCGCCUUGUUUGGUGUCACUGUUCUUCUUUUGGUCCUUUUUUGAGAAAAAGAGAAAAAAAAAAUUCAACAUGAUUGAGUGUUUAAAAGUCUUCACUGCAUUAACUGAGCUGUGGAAACACAGACUGAGGGUUUAGUAACUCACCAGAGAAACGCCACGAGGAUUACACAGAUGACGUUCAAAACGAGAGACAGAGCAGCAACGACAGCCAAAGAGAGCACGACUCCUUGUGAACAGAAACGUUUAACAAGUUACUUUUUAAUGUAAAAUCAAGUAUUUAUUUUAAGUCAGCCUUUAGUCGUCAGUUCUCACCCUCCUGUUCAAACUCGCUGGCUAUGACGAUCUUCAGCUCCUUCUUCACUUCUCCAAAGUUAUUUUUGCUGACACACCCAACAGUGGAGUAGCUGUGAUCUUUAUCAGGUACAGUGAUGCUGCUGUUGACUCUGUUUUUCCACACACUUGUCGUGACACAGUGUUGGGUGUGAUUGUUUAGCAGUGGCCAUGUAACGGUGGGUAAAGGAAACCCCUCACUGAUACACACACAGGUCAGGACACCAGGCUGAGCUUCACAUGCAGAGCUGUUGAGAAUCUUUGGUGAAACUGUAAACAAACAAGAGGAAUAGAAGAAUGAUUCAGUAGGUGGGAGACUUAAAAUUUAAAGUCAUAUGUUUUGCUAGAAAUGAAAGCCUUUUAUUAAUAACAGUAAAAACAAAUACUUUGACAUUAGUCCUGAUAUAGUCCUCUAAAAGCACAGGAGUCAGGUAAUAUAGUACAAAACUGGAUUUAUUUCACAUCAGCAGAAACUCUCUAAUUGUUACUAAAAUGUUGAUGGUUACUUUAAUUUCUAGAAAGUUAGUUUUAAUGUCUUGUUUUUCAGAUGUCUUGUUCAACAGGUUUCUGUUCUGUAUUUUUGCUAUAAAAGGUGAAAACUUUUCAAGCAAGGUUCAAUUUAAACAACUAAACACCAGUUCAAUAAUUUCUAUUUAAAUAUGACACGACAGAAAUGGAGAAAUUAUCCUGAAAAUGGUGCAGAUUCAGUUUCCCGAACCAGAUCAACUUUAUAUAACAUGUACAAAAUAGAAGAAAACACUAAAAAGUUCAUUCAAAUUUAUUUUGUUUCAAUCUGUUUGUGAUUUAAACUUUUAUCAAGUUGCACCAUUUUCAUCAGGGGACAUGAAAACAAUCAGAAAAUCUGCUCCUGUUGUUUUUCCGUGAAACAUUUUUAGAGAUCAGAUACUCACAGGUCACAGUCAGAGUCUCUUUCUUCUCUGUGGAGAUGUUGUUUUUGAAGCUGACCUUACAGGUGACCUCAGUGCCAUGGUCCUCAGCUGAGGGUGUAAAGGUCAAAGUUGAGCUGUGUCUUUGUGCAGCAGCAGACAGACUCUCAGUACGGAAGUUUCCUAGGAUGACAGAGUCGUUUUCUCCUCGUCUCCACAUCCAGGUGAUCUGAGGAGCAGAUCCAGAGCAGAGACCAGGAGCAGUGCAGCUCAGUGUGGUCUGCUGUCCCUCUGUCAGAGGAGGAAUCAUCACUGCGGGCUUCUGGGUCAGAGCUGAUGAGAGAGAGGUCCAUGAGUACACGAGGUGAGCAGCAUGGAAACUAUUAAAACACUUCAAAUUUACUCAGAGAUUCUGGACACUUAUUAUCUUAGAGUCAUGGGAGUGAUGUGUGGGACCACUGCGGUUCUCACAGUUUACCACUAGAGGUCAGUAUAUGCCAAAAU